GCCCAAUCCAGUCGGUCUUGCUCCCAGCUUCCAGGAACCCGGAUCCCUGCCCCCUCUCCGAAGUGCCUGAGAAGUCUCAGCAGAUGGCCCUCUAGAGCCCGGAGACCUGCUCCUCAUCCUGGAUUUGGCCUUGGCUCACCUUGGGCAAGUCUGUUCCCCUCUUGCGCCUUCAUCACCCCGUCUGUAUGUGAGGGAGUUGGACUUGAGGGUCUCUGAACAGCUUUCCAACUCGGACAUGUCUCCCCAGGCCUGUGGGUCCCGUUGGGCCCUUGGUGAUCACAUGCCUGCCAAAUACCCACCCGGGGUCUGCUUGGAUGCUGCCAGGAAACCAGCUGCAUCUUCCUCCUCCCUGCGGACAGUUCCAGCAGAUACGCCUUCCUCACGCUGCACCUGCCUCCCUGAAUCGAAGACCACUGGGGGCCAUUCUGCCUUCAGAAACCACAGAACUCCGUGUGAUUCAAUAAACCCUGGGCACUGGGCGCCCUGGCCACACCUUGUGCUGGCCUCCAAGGACACAGAGGAACUAGAAAUAGUUAGGUUCCCCCUAAAGAACCAUGUCAAGCUGGGGAAAAGACCAGUGAACACACAGUAAACAUAUAAUUUCAGUAAAACUUAGGGUAUGAGAGAGAAAGCUGGAACUGCUAGAGCAAAGCGUGAGUGAGGGAACUGAAGAGGCAGGGCACGAGUCUUUUUUUUAUAUUAGCAACCUUUUUACAUUGUGUUUCUCAAUUACCGUUUAUAUUUUGUAUUAUUUUGUUUUAGUUUCAGUGCACAGCAUAGUGGUUUGACAAUCAUAUACUUUACAGAGUGUCCCCCCAAACUUCCAGCACCCACUGGCAGCAGACACAGUUACUCACUGACUGUGUUCCCUGUGGUGUGCCUGAUGUCCCCGUGCCUGUCCUGCAGCUCCCAGUCGGUAUUUCUUAGUCUCUUACGUUUCUCACCCAGGCCCCCAAGCCCCCUACCCUCUGGCAACCGUCAGUCUGUUCACUGUAUCUAAGAGUCUGUUUCUGUUUUUUUUGUUUGUUUGUUUUGUUCUUUAGAUUCCACAUAUAAGUAAAAUCAUAUUGUCUUUCUCUGA